UUAUCAUAUUGCAUAAUUAUAAUCUAGUGAUCAAAAUUAGGAAAUGUAAUAUUAAUACAUCAGUAGUCCAUUGCUUAUAUUCAGAUUUUGUCAGUAGUCCUAUCCAGGUCAUGUUCUAUAUCUGCUUAUCUUGUCUUUUUAGUUUCCUUCCAUCUGGAAACAUUCUUUUUUCCUUUGUUUGUUGAUCCUGGCUUGUUUGACUCCUUCUCCCCAUGCUGCUAAUAAUAAACUCCCUGCUGCCAUUUACAAACAGAACAAAGAAACUGGCCAGUCACCCAAGUAGAACCUCAAGUCCUUCCUUGCAGCUGACGACUUCCAAAUGGGCUGUUUCUCAAACUCUCGGUUGCAAGACCUCCCUGGAGACACGCUUACUUCUUGUAAGGCUGUUAAGAGCCAAAAGAAAUGACGAUAAAGGUUCCAGUGGGUAGUUUUGACUUGUUACCAGCCCUUUGUUUUCAGACUCACAAUCACCAAGUUCCUGAUUUCUUUUAAUGAGGCUUUCUCUCACAUGCGUGCUCACACAAAGACACAACCACAGUGGGGAGCAGGGAGAGAGACAUAAAUGAGUGUGUGCAUUGGUCAUGAUAGCACUUGCACAUGUCUCAGGUUGAAGACCAGCCUGGCAGCUAUUGUUUUUAGAACAAAACCUGCAAAGCCUAGCUCAUAUGCAGUUUUGUUAAAAACAAAACAAAAAAACUUUCAAUGAAUAUCAAACGAUCUGCAGGCUGCGGAAACAGGUCGGUUAAAUGCUCACCUUGUUUGAUCUUCAGAACCUUCGUUUAGAAAAAAAAAAAAGUUGGGUGGGGUGGCACACCUGUGAUCCCAGUGCAAGUGAGGUGGAGACAGGUGGCUGUCUGAGGUUCAGUGGCCAGCCAACCUAGCCUAGUAGGUGGGUUCCAGGCCUACACCAAAAUGUAAAAGAUAGAUGAUUUCUGAAAAAUGACACUUGAAGUUUUCCUCUGGCCUCCCAAGCAUGUGUACACAUGACCGAACACAUAUACACACACACACACACACAUCUGGGGAACAGAGGGCAUAAGGAGUGACCUGAAUUGAAUAAUUCCCUCUGUUCGGUUUCCAUCCUAUAGAAAGUCGUGUGCAGAAGGGAAGCAAAGCUUGUGUCACAAGACGGGGCAGGGAUUGGUGUGAAUCUGUUUCAUUCUGUUUAACAGAGGGCAAUGUGUUUGUGAGCCCCUAGACAGCACAAUCUUUAGAUUUAAAAUAGGCUUCCCAAACUGAUGCCUGGCUGCCUUUGUCCCAUAAGAAAGCAUCCCCAAAUAAGCCCUCGGUGAAAAUAUUUCCAAAAACAGAGUUUAUAUGUGGCAUCGUCCUGAAGAUUCUGAAGCAAACAUUGGUAAAGUUGGGCUGCCUCAUCAGGAAAACUCCUCGAAGAGUCUAAUGACUGUUUUCUGGCUGAAAUGUCCUCCAUCGCAGAGGUCAAUCAUCCACUUUCUCCGUCAGACAGCCAGAAGUAAUACGGACACCCAGGUACUAUCUGUCUGCAGCUCACCAAAUUUCUGAGGUCAAAGCAUUUAUACAGUGAGGUCUUUCAGUGCCAUUAACCGUGAAAAUAUCCAAUAUCAAAAUGAUUCUGAAUCUCAAAAGCAAUUUGAGUUUUAAUCUGAGUAUUCAAGGUAUGCACCCUUGUAGCUGUUGCAUCCAACUAUCGGUCGACCCUAAAUCGGUCAAAUUGAUGAGGUCGGUGACAUGAAAUAAAAGAC
rnacentral:lncRNA from 1 species